rnacentral:tRNA from 1 species
UCCCUGUGGCUCAGAUGGUAAAGCAUCUGCCUGCAAUGCGGGAGACCCAGGUUCAAUCCCUGGGUCGGGAA